rnacentral:rRNA from 1 species
UACGUAGGGUGCAAGCGUUGUCCGGAAUUAUUGGGCGUAAAGAGCUCGUAGGCGGUUUGUCGCGUCUGCUGUGAAAACGCGAGGCUCAACCUCGCGCCUGCAGUGGGUACGGGCAGACUAGAGUGCGGUAGGGGAGAUUGGAAUUCCUGGUGUAGCGGCGGAAUGCGCAGAUAUCAGGAGGAACACCGAUGGCGAAGGCAGAUCUCUGGGCCGUUACUGACGCUGAGGAGCGAAAGCGUGGGGAGCGAACAGG